rnacentral:rRNA from 1 species
CGGGACGGGUGAGUAAUGUCUGGGAAACUGCCUGAUGGAGGGGGAUAACUACUGGAAACGGUAGCUAAUACCGCAUAACGUCGCAAGACCAAAGAGGGGGACCUUCGGGCCUCUUGCCAUCGGAUGCGCCCAGAUGGGAUUAGCUAGUAGGUGGGGUAACGGCUCACCUAGGCGACGAUCCCUAGCUGGUCUGAGAGGAUGACCAGCCACACUGGAACUGAGACACGGUCCAG